rnacentral:rRNA from 1 species
AUUGAACGCUGGCGGCAUGCUUUACACAUGCAAGUCGAACGGUAACAGGCCGCAAGGUGCUGACGAGUGGCGAACGGGUGAGUAAUGCAUCGGAACGUGCCCAGUCGUGGGGGAUAACGCAGCGAAAGCUGCGCUAAUACCGCAUACGAUCUAUGGAUGAAAGCGGGGGACCGUAAGGCCUCGCGCGAUUGGAGCGGCCGAUGUCAGAUUAGGUAGUUGGUGGGGUAAAGGCUCACCAAGCCGACGAUCUGUAGCUGGUCUGAGAGGACGACCAGCCACACUGGGACUGAGACACGGCCCAGACUCCUACGGGAGGCAGCAGUGGGGAAUUUUGGACAAUGGGCGCAAGCCUGAUCCAGCAAUGCCGCGUGCAGGAAGAAGGCCUUCGGGUUGUAAACUGCUUUUGUACGGAACGAAAAGGCUCUGGUUAAUACCUGGGGCUCAUGACGGUAC